AUCGCUUCUCGGUCUUUUGGCUAAGAUCGAGUGUAGUAUCUGUUCUUAUCAGUUUCAUGCUAUUGGCAGGUGACGCCAGUGUGGGACUGGUGGGGAUGGGUGCUGCAUGGUAGGGAGCAGGUUUACCGGGGCGUUCUGGGGCUGGUUCUGAUGAAUCAGCCCAACGGCUGCCCCGAUAUGACCUGCU